ACUUGUUCUUUAAAUGAGGACUAGUAUGAAUGGCAUCACGAGGGUUACACUGUCUCCCACCUCUAAUCAGUGAAACUGAUCUCCCCGUGAAGAAGCGGGGAUAAGAAUAUAAGACGAGAAGACCCCAUGGAGCUUUAAACUCAGUAUCAACCACCAAGAUCUAUAACAUAAAAAUAGGGGGCCCUGAUUACUAGUUUUUGGUUGGGGUGACCGCGGAGUAAAAUGAAACCUCCACAAUGAAUGACACCUCCCAUCUUAUCCAAGAGCCUACAACUCUAAGAAUCAAUAAAUUGACAUCUAUUGACCCAAACAAUUUUGACCAACGAACCAAGUUACCCUGGGGAUAACAGCGCAAUCCAUUUCAAGAGCCCCUAUCGACAAAUGG
rnacentral:rRNA from 1 species